AGCUGCUGCCAACCCCAACCCGCAGCGGCACCCGGUCACAGCCCCGGCCCCACUGCUCCCGGCCGGAAUAGGGCAGAGGGAGCUGAGGGAGCUGCACUGCAGAGGGAUCCCAGACAGCCCAGGUGAUGACCUGAAAAAACCAUGUCUGAAGUUCAGGGAACGGUCGAGUUUUCUGUGGAGCUACACAAGUUCCAUAAUGUGGACCUCUUCCAGAGGGGGUAUUACCAGAUAAGAGCUGGACUGAAGAUCCCAUCCAGGAUUCCCCACAGGCUCUUUGCUACGAUUGCAGGACAGACAGGUGAUUCCAGCCUUUGCUCGGCCUGCGUCCAUGAAAACAAUGUUUACAGCAGAAUAUUUCAGAUAUUGUACAGAAAUGAAGAGAUCAUUCUGAAUGAGUCCAUGAACUUCAGAGUGCACCUGCUUCUGGAUGGAGAAAGGGUGGAAGAUGCAUUGAAUGAGGCAGAUUUUCAGCUCAAGCUGGACCUGCACUUUACUGAUAGUGAACAACAGCUGAGGGAUGUCCCAGCCGUGCCCAUGAUCAGCAGCCGCACACUGUGUCUGCACUUCCACCCCCGCAGAGGGCUGCACCACCACGUUCCUGUCAUGUUUGACUACUUCCACCUGUCCGUGGUCUCCGUCACAGUGCACGCCUCCCUGGUGGCUUUGCACCAGCCUCUCAUCAGUUUCGCUCGUCCAGGGAAAGGUUCAUGGCUUGGUAAAGGCAACCUGGAGGCAGGACAAGACCAAUCCAGUAUGUCAUUAGAAAAUCUGGUGUUUGGAGCUGGCUACUGCAGACCCACUUCUUCAGAGGGCAGCUUUUAUGUCCCAUCUGAAAACUGCAUGCAGCACGCAUACAAGUGGCAUAAGGAUCUCUGUCUUCUGCUCCUGAAUGCUCAAAGUGGUCUUCACACGUACUAUACCCUCAUAAUGAAUGAGAUUCCUGAUUUACCACAGCUGAAGAUGGAGGAGCUAUCUGUGGAAGAGACAUUGUCCCAGCUUUGUAUGGAGCUGCAGCUGCUGAGCAAUCCAGAGAAGAUAGCAGAACAGAUAAGCAAGGACCUGGCUUGGCUUUGCUCUCACCUCCUGGCCCUGUGGACCCAGUUCCUAGAGGUGGCAACGCUCCAUCCAGAAGUCACAGCUUAUCUGACUCAGGAACAUCACAUGCUAAGGGUGAGAAGAUUCUCAGAAGGCUUCUUCUACACCGAGCACCAGAAACCUGCUGUGCUCAUGUUCCAGGAAGGCCUGAUCCAGAGCCACGCACAGAUUUCCACAGAAAUUCGUAAUUCAGAUUAUUUCACCAGCAUGCCUCCGCUGCCAGCGGAAUGCCUGGACAUCGACGGGGACUGGAACACACUCCCAGUUAUCUUUGAAGAUAGGUACACAGACAUGCCUUGCAAAGAUCAGAAUUUGGAAGUUUUCUCAGAUUUUGAGGUUCCUACAAAUACUCAAAUGGAUGUAAAACUGGACAAUAAAGGCUGUGCAUCAGAUGAUGCCACUACAGUAAAGAAAGGAGACUUUGGGAAAGAUACUCCACUAAUACACACAGACAGGAUAAAUAGGAAUCCCUCAUGCCUACACAGCAGUACUGAAGCUGCUGCUAAGGGUUUUAACCAGCACUCCACAUCUCAGGUAUGUACAAUAAACAACGAAGGCCAAAGGAAACCUGAAAAUAUUUUUGUUUCAAGAGUGGAAACUAUUUCUGACUCAGAGCCAGGCAAUACAGAACAUGCGUCAGAAGACUUUAAAACAUCCGAGGAAGUUUUAUUAAAAGAUAAUAGACUUGGGACGGAUGUUAUCUGUGGAGACAUGGAAAUCAGCAAUAAGGACUCUCACAAAAGUGAGCCCAUGCUAAUUGUCAGUGCUCAGUAUGAGUGUGGAGCAUGUGGAACUGAUGGCUUGGAAGACAGGACUGAAAUGCAUGAACUAGAUGAAUUUGGUCACCCUGAAACUAAUUUCAUUUCAUCUGAGCUUGCACUGAAUGAACUGACCAGUCUUGGAAAACCAGAGGACGCAGACACCAAGGCUCAUCUCCCUGUUUUGAAAGCUUUGUCUUCACACAUCUGUGAAGUGAAAUCAGUCUCAAAGGAGCAACGAAGUGAGGAGAGUGAAGAAUUUACCCUGACAUCAGGGGUCAUAAAAAGAUCUUCCUCUAUAAUAUCUGAUUCAGGCAUUGAAAGUGAACCAAGCUCGGUGGCAUGGUCUGACGCUCGUAGCCGAGCCCUGGAGCUGCCCAGUGACAGAGAGAUCCUGCACCACUUGGUCCGGAGGCAUGCCAUCCACAGGAAUUCCCUGGAGGGUGGCCACACGGAAAGCAACACCAGCUUGCCCAGUGGUAUCCAAGCAUCGCUCACAUCCAUCAGCUCUUUGCCUUUUGAGGAAGAGGAGAGGGAAGUGGAGCUUACCAAACUGACAAAAUCUGUCUCUGCUCCGCAGAUCAGUAGCCCAGAAGAGCCCACAGAGGAGGUGGAUAUAUCAAAAUACAGUGAAGCCACCUCAGGAGAUUCAGAUCAAAACUUAAGAAGCUGCAUGGAAACAGAGGAUAAAGAUGAAAAAUUGAUAAUGGACUUUUCUGAGUGUCAAAUGACCACUGAAAGUGGACAAAUAGAACACAGAAGACAUCCCAAACCCCUCCUCAAACACAGUAGCAGUAACGCUGAGUUACAAGGGGAGGAGGAGAAAGGUUUUCCAGAGACUUGCUGUAGUUUGGAAAAUACAAGAUCACCCAUUUGUCCGAAGCAGCUCCAAGAUAAUGUCUCUGAGUGCCUGACACUGGAGAGCAAUGGUGAGUGCAGCUUAAAAACACCAAGGGCUUGUAAUUACUUGGACAAAAAUAUAGAUGAGGUUGAUACCUGCAUUGAGGAUCCAAAGGAUAAACUUAAGCCGGACAGUUUAAAAAUACAACAGGGUUCUUCCAAUAGUAGAAUUUCAGGAGAGGAGAGUUUUUCACAAAGCAUAAAGGUGGUACCAGAUUUUUGCUAUCCUUUUACAGCUCCUUCAGACACCUCCGCUGAAUUUGGCCCACUGCGAGGAGAAUGUGGCAGCUCUCUCAUUGAUGAGGGCCCAGCAGUGCAUGCAGAAGUGCAGGGGUUGCAAGAAAUUGAGCUCAAUGACUCACCUGCCUCAGCAGACCCUGUGGCAGGGUCCCACCAGGCUGAACGUCCUCAGGAGCCCAACAGCCAGGAGAAUAAACUUGUAGUGAACGGCACCGGGUUUCCUUUGGCCACGACAGAGGGAGUAGCCCUGGAAAGCAGAAAGGCUGCUGAUGUGGUUAACCUGUCCAUCUCUUGCACAGCCACCUGUCUUCCCUUUUCUUCCGUGCUCAAAGAGACCCCUGCCAUGGCGGGCUCCUCAGCAAAGCAGGCUGCGUUCCCCAUCACGCGCCAGCCGCUGGGCUCGUUUGGAGUCGUCUGUUCUAAUUCAGAUGAGAUGGAUGAAAAGACCAACGAAAGGAUGCUGAAUUUUUAUCAGGCCAAAGAAAAGUUUAAAAAAGAAAUGAAGAUUGAAGGAUUUCUGUACAGUGACUUAUCUGUACUAGCUUCUGAUAUCCCAUAUUUUCCACCAGAGGAAGAGGAAGAAAAUUUGGAAGAUGGAAUUCACCUGGUUGUCUGUGUCCAUGGAUUGGAUGGUAACAGUGCAGAUCUGCGGCUGGUAAAGACUUUUAUAGAACUGGGACUUCCUGGUGGAAAACUGGACUUCCUAAUGUCUGAAAGGAAUCAGACUGAUACUUUUGCUGAUUUUGAUACAAUGACUGACCGAUUAUUGGAUGAAAUUAUUCAGCAUAUCCAGUUGUACAACCUCUCCAUAUCCCGAAUAAGCUUUAUUGGACAUUCCCUCGGUAACGUUAUCAUUCGAUCUGUACUAACUCGCCCCAGGUUUCGCUAUUACCUCAACAAGUUACACACCUUCCUGUCCCUCUCUGGGCCUCACCUGGGAACCCUUUACAACAACAGCACUUUGGUUAGUACAGGUCUAUGGCUAAUGCAGAAGUUGAAAAAGUCAGGGUCACUUUUGCAACUGACCUUCAGGGACAACACGGAUCUGCGCAAGUGUUUCCUCUAUCAGCUCAGCCAAAAAACGGGUCUUCAGUAUUUUAAAAAUGUUGUGUUAGUGGCCUCACCCCAAGACAGAUAUGUACCUUUUCAUUCAGCAAGAAUAGAAAUGUGCAAAAAUGCACUUAAGGACAAACACACAGGUCCGGUUUAUGCAGAAAUGAUCAACAACCUGCUCCAGCCUUUGAUUGGGGCCAAGGACUGCACUCUGAUCAGAUACAACGUGUUUCAUGCUCUGCCCAACACCGCCAACACGUUGAUAGGCCGGGCUGCCCACAUUGCCGUGCUGGACUCUGAACUUUUCCUGGAGAAGUUUUUCCUCGUGGCUGGACUCAACUACUUCAAAUAGUGCCUGAAGUAUGGGGUAACAGAGGCCAACAUUUCCUUUGAGUGGAGGAGACUUCCUUAGCCAAAGGAGUGCAAUGUUAGAAAUGAGAUCAGGUGAGUCAGAGUCUAGAUAUAGUUCUGACAGACUGAGCAGAAGACAAAGAUAAAUCCUUCUCCUGUCUAGGAUGUGACAGGAAUAUACCCCACUGAGAUGGCAGUAAUGACAGAGACAUCAAAAGGACAUCUUCCAAAAUCCUAUCCAAUUCAUCAAAAUAAAUGACUCCAGAAUAUUAUGGAUUUUUGGCAAAAGUAUCAGGUCAAAACACAGAAAAGCAUAUUCCAAAACACAAAGUUCAGAAGUAAACUUCUUAAAAGUGGAACAGUUUAACCUAAAAUUUGUUUUCUUGGACUUGAAUAAUGAAGCUAUUUAUUAUUGUCUUAGACUCUGGCAUCAAUCAUCUUUAUAACUCCUUUAAAAUAUACUCAAGUCCUUAAAAAAAAAAUCAUCUUAAAUCUCUACCUUUCAAUUAUGCUUAGACAAUUUGUCACAGCAUCUGAGACAGCAGAAAAUCAAACUUUCUCUAUAUACAGAAUUACCUACAAUGAACAGUACAAGCCUUAAGUGGGAAAGAUUUGUCUGUUGGGAGAGCUUCUUUCUUGUUUAGUGAAAGGUUAUUCAGAUGAGUCUAAUUUAGCCAAUAAAGAAAGUAGGUAAAUUCUGUCCUUUUUCUUAGUCCUCUCUUCCAUGCUGCAAAUUCAGAUACUUAAAAUUAAACAUUCUAGUUUGUGUUACAAACAAAACACAUCUCGGAGGCAGGUUUUGAUUGAUGUCUUAUCUCUCCCUGUAUGCAAUGUCCAAACACAGUUACUCUGGUUUUGACACUGGAACCAUAUUCUUGGUUUAAGUAUUUUAAACCUUAAUGACACACUCUUCAAAGUGUAUUAAAAUUGUAGCUCUCAAAAUCAGACUUUGACUUUUUAAUGGUUAAAGUUAACAAAGGCAGCAGAAGUAACCCCAUUUUUAUGGUAUCUAUUCAAAUGGAACACCUUACACUGUUGGAUUAAUUUCCAGCUCGAUGGUAACACCUAAAAUUGGACCUUCACUGUUCCUCAACUGAUAGGUGGACUAGAAUUAAAUGGACAGGAGCAUAGUUCUGUGAAGAACCUUAUCCUGUGUUUCAAAGAGUUACCUUUUACUUAUUUUAUUAAAUGUUAAGAAAAUACCUCUUGGAAUUAAACCCUACUAUUUCCUGUAAAUAAUUAGCUCUGAAAAUGGUUUUCUGUAUGCACUGUUACAAUUUUUAGUUAACAAAGACAAGGCUAGAAAGCUUUUUGAAAGAAAUAAUAUGGUUUGGGGUUUUUUUCAGAUAAGCAGCUGCCAAAUACUAUUGGGCUGAGUUUCAAAUGAGUAAUUCAACUUAGGCAUUUCAAAUUUAUGGGUUUUUUAAAUCAUAAAAGUACUAUAAAAAAUAAAGAGGUAGGCCCCUGAACUUGAUAACCAUUUGUAGUCUUGCAAAGUGGAUGUAAAAUACUAGCAUUGGAUUCAUGCCCAUGUUUGUGCACACAGGCUGCAAAGCAAAACAUCAGAGAUAUAUCCUUCUCCAAGUACUUCCUUUGGGGCUGAUUGUUCAGUGCAAGCAAUAUGCAUGAUAUAAUUGGUGCAUGUAACAGUAACUACAACAUUCUGCAAAUUUGAAUUUAUACAGUUAACUUAAUAUUGAGGCUGAACUUUGCAGAUGAGUAGUCUAUGGUAUUUUUAAUUAUAACCAUUUCUAUGGUAUGAAUAUGAGUACAGCUGAUUCUGUCAUGUGAAACUAGAGGUUGGACUUUUAAAUGAGACAUUAUUAUAUUUGAUUGAGGCAGUUAUGUUUCUCAAGAAUUAUUUCAAAUCAGAUAGAAGAGACAAUAAUUAGAGGUUGAGAGCUUCAAAAAUCUGUACUUUUUUUUUUUUUUAAGACACCAAGAUUUACAACACAUGCUCUGUCUGCCUCUGUCUAAUUUACUUCCCUUUCCCUAAUGAACAUUUGUCAACUGCCACACACUUCAAUUUUCUUUAACUAUGUCUUUCAAGAUUUAAGUGAGACUUACAUCAAAAACCCAAAACUAAUCUCACUAAGUGGAAACAUGUGAAGUUGAGUCAAUUCUGUGAUAUUUUAAGGAAAAUGGAAAUGCAAAUCAGUUUUCUUGGAAUGUAGGUUCAGACUCAACAGCAUUCACAAAGUCUUUAUUAAAGGUCUGAUCCUGAGAAAUGCUGGUCAAAUGCACUCUUGGUAUAAUGGACCAAAUCUGCAAGUGGAUUGACCUGGUGAAGAGCUUUAUACAGUCACAAGAUCUUAACAAAUGGCAACCAGCAGCAUCCAUGGCAUCUCAAAGUCAGACUACCACAAGAUAAUAAAUGUUCUGGUUUCUUUUUAAGGCCAAUUUUCCAGUUGGUCAAAUGUGUUUUAAAAGUAACAUCUUUCAAAACAAAUGCAGACCUCUCCAAGGGAUCAAGUCAAUGGAUUACUGUGGACAGAUCCUUAUAGGUUAAGGGAAAGGGCUUUUAAUUUCUAAAUCUACUACUUUGAAUCAUGACCAUACAAAGAAGAAAUCUGACAUGGUCCCUUGUAUAAAUAAGAUCAUGAAUGUAAAGCCUAUAAUGCCACUGUGAAAUUUUAAUGCUUAUUUAUUAUGGUUAUGAUGAAACCUGUAUAAUAAGAUGAUGAU